GAUGAACGCUGGCGGCGUGCUUAACACAUGCAAGUCGAACGGAAAGGCUCCUGCUUGCAGGGGUACUCGAGUGGCGAACGGGUGAGUAACACGUGGGUGAUCUGCCCUGCACUUCGGGAUAAGCCUGGGAAACUGGGUCUAAUACCGGAUAGGACGAUGGUUUGGAUGCCAUUGUGGAAAGUUUUUCGGUGUGGGAUGAGCUCGCGGCCUAUCAGCUUGUUGGUGGGGUAAUGGCCUACCAAGGCGUCGACGGGUAGCCGGCCUGAGAGGGUGUACGGCCACAUUGGGACUGAGAUACGGCCCAGACUCCUACGGGAGGCAGCAGUGGGGAAUAUUGCACAAUGGGCGCAAGCCUGAUGAAGCGACGCCGCGUGGGGGAUGACGGCCUUCGGGUUGUAAACUCCUUUCGCUAGGGACGAAGCGCAAGUGACGGUACCUGGAGAAGAAGCACCGGCUAACUACGUG
rnacentral:rRNA from 1 species